rnacentral:tRNA from 1 species
GCUCUUUUAGUAUAAGUGAGUAUAUCUAAUUUCCAAUUAGAAUGUUUUGAAGAGUU